CAGUCGCCGCGGUAAUACAGAGGGUGCGAGCGUUAAUCGGAUUUACUGGGCGUAAAGCGUGCGUAGGCGGCUUUUUAAGUCGGAUGUGAAAUCCCUGAGCUUAACUUAGGAAUUGCAUUCGAUACUGGGAAGCUAGAGUAUGGGAGAGGAUGGUAGAAUUCCAGGUGUAGCGGUGAAAUGCGUAGAGAUCCGGAGGAAUACCGAUGGCGAAGGCAGCCAUCUGGCCUAAUACUGACGCUGAGGUACGAAAGCAUGGGGAGCAAACAGGAUUAGAUACCCCCGUAGUCCCUGUCUCUUAUAC
rnacentral:rRNA from 1 species